AAAACUUUCAACAACGGAUCUCUUGGCUCUGGCAUCGAUGAAGAACGCAGCGAAAUGCGAUAAGUAAUGUGAAUUGCAGAAUCCAAGUGAAUCAUCGAAUCUUUGAACGCACAUUGCGCCCGCCAGCAUUCUGGCGGGCAUGCCUGUUCGAGCGUCAUUU
rnacentral:rRNA from 1 species